UGCCUGGUGGUUUUUAUAUUUUAUGUUUUCAAACAAUUUUUUUAUUGUUUAAUAUGUUUCUUUCAUAUUGACAGCAUGGACGAUGGGAACAGAAGGCUUUUGGUUUCCAUUGUGAAGCAAAACAGCCUUUAAACUAUCCUUGCUGCUAUAAAAAAAAAACUCCAAUCUUUUGAGUCGUAAGCUUCACCCAGUUUCUUGAAUGGUCCGAAGAGAAUUCCGAAAAGCUAAUAAGUACAGCUGUCAAUGUAAUUUGCAAGAUAUAAUCUGAGAAAUUUAAAGCUUUCAAAUGGAAAAUGGCGCAUUAGCUGGGAGUCAUGAAAAAUCGUGCAAUUAAUGGCUGAUGCUGAUCGUUUUUCCAAACUUACCAGAAUCACACAUUACCUUACAUACCGUUCUGUACCUUGGCCUUAUUGUAAUUCCCAAUUUACUUGUAAAACUAGUAAACACGACAUUUAUGCUGUGA